GACGAACGCUGGCGGCGUGCCUAAUACAUGCAAGUAGAACGCACAGUUUAUACCGUAGCUUGCUACACCAUAGACUGUGAGUUGCGAACGGGUGAGUAACGCGUAGGUAACCUGCCUGGUAGCGGGGGAUAACUAUUGGAAACGAUAGCUAAUACCGCAUAAUAUUAAUUAUUGCAUGAUAAUUAAUUGAAAGGUGCAAUUGCACAACUACCAGAUGAACCUGCGUUGUAUUAGCUAGUAGGUGAGGUAACGGCUCACCUAGGCGACGAUACAUAGCCGACCUGAGAGGGUGAUCGGCCACACUGGGACUGAGACACGGCCCAGACUCCUACGGGAGGCAGCAGUAGGGAAUCUUCGGCAAUGGACGAAAGUCUGACCGAGCAACGCCGCGUGAGUGAAGAAGGUUUUCGGAUCGUAAAGCUCUGUUGUAAGAGAAGAACGGGUGUGAGAGUGGAAAGUUCACACUGUGACGGUAUCUUACCAGAAAGAGACGGCUAACUACGUG
rnacentral:rRNA from 1 species